UCCCAUAGUCUAGAGCUUUUUGUUGGGAAAAUGUGUGGGUUGGCAUGUCUUCCUUGUAUAUUGACCAAGGAGGCCCAGGUUGCUAGAGCAUCCGCAAAAUCAUUCAUAUUCUGAGGAAUGUGGAGGAAGGAUUUUUCUUCAAACUUCGAAGCCAUCUGUAGAACCUGCCGAUGGUAAGGCAGCAACUGUAGAACCUGUUGAAGAGAUUUUUCUUUUUUCUUUUUUCUCUUUUUAUUUUAUUUUUUCUUUUUAUUUUCUUUUUUCUUUUUAUUUUCCUUUUUCUUUUUAUUUUCCUUUUUCUUUUUUUC
rnacentral:lncRNA from 1 species